CCACAGCCUCACACACCGGGCUCGAAAGCUCCACCAUCUAUAUGGUCCGGCCCUGUAGGACAACGUGCAGGGAAGGAGACGCACAGAAAGGGCCUUUUAAAAUGUUCUCACCGAAUCACUCAAGAUUGUAUCAGCAUGAAGCAUGUCAUCCACACCAAUAUCCUCAGAGCCUCCUCAUGAAUAAUGUGACUAACAAGCGUCCUGUGUGGCCGCCUGGCACUCUGGGAGCUUCAUCAGCCUGACUCCUCAGAGAUGACGAUCCUGGA